GAUGAACGCUAGCUACAGGCUUAACACAUGCAAGUCGAGGGGCAGCGGGAUUGAAGCUUGCUUCAAUUGCCGGCGACCGGCGCACGGGUGAGUAACGCGUAUCCAACCUUCCGUACACUCAGGGAUAGCCUUUCGAAAGAAAGAUUAAUACCUGAUGGUAUGAUGAGGUUGCAUGAUAUCAUCAUUAAAGAUUUAUCGGUGUACGAUGGGGAUGCGUUCCAUUAGGUAGUAGGCGGGGUAACGGCCCACCUAGCCAACGAUGGAUAGGGGUUCUGAGAGGAAGGUCCCCCACAUUGGAACUGAGACACGGUCCAAACUCCUACGGGAGGCAGCAGUGAGGAAUAUUGGUCAAUGGACGAGAGUCUGAACCAGCCAAGUAGCGUGAAGGAUGAAGGUCCUACGGAUUGUAAACUUCUUUUAUAAGGGAAUAAACCCUCCCACGUGUGGGAGCUUGUAUGUACCUUAUGAAUAAGCAUCGGCUAACUCCGUG
rnacentral:rRNA from 1 species